UGUUUGUGUGUGUGUGUUUCAUUCACAGAUCCAAGGAGUUCCUGAGCAGGUGACUGGAAGCCCAAACUCACCUACAGAGCCAGAUUUAGGUUGGGAAAGUGAUGUAGUGAAGGCCUCAAAGCUGGGAAGAGGAGGGACUCCACAGGUGAGCUGAGAGCAAGUGACAUCCACUCCCACAGAGGCUGCAGGUUCGCUGGGGCUUCUUCUCUGGGGGAUUCUAGGACCAAACCAAUGACAGUUUUUUUUUUUUAAUUUCUCUUCUCUAAUUCUUUUCAGUAGUUAGAAUUGUUUUUAUUUUUAAAGAAAAAGGAAGUCGUUGUAAUUUUUCUGAGUUGGGGCAUUAACUACUUUUCCUGCUGUGACCAAAUACCCAAAGAAGAGCAUCCUAAGCGAAGAAGGCCGCAUCCAGGUCCACAGUUUGAGGCUCUGGUUCCUCAAGGUGGGGAAGGCAUGGAACAGGAGUGGAGGAACCUGGGCAUGAGGCUUCAUAAGAAGGAAGCAGAGGAAGUUGGAUUGGUUCCUCAGCCAGCUCUAUCUUUUUAAGCAAGCCUGGACUUCAUCCCUCAGAAUGUGCUGCCUAAUUCAGGGGAUCCCGUGCUGCCCAAGAAGACAAAUCUGUGAGCAUAUCUGGGAAGCACUUCCUGGAUGGAGGACGUUGAGAUGGGAAGACCCACCUAAGUGUGGAUGUGGUCCUUGGCUAUAUAAAAGGAGAAGACUUUCAAGAUUCAUCUAUGAUAUGUUUUAUAAAACAAGAACCUAAGACAAUUGGGAUGAGGAAGUGGGUCAAGUCCUAGGAGAGCCGGCUGUUUCAUUUCUGUCCAGGGUCUGUGGGACCACCUGCAGAUUUUUCGAGGCACUGAGAACACGAUGAGAAGCACAGACACGGUCCCUGUCCUCAUGGAGGUUACCAUCUGGCAAGGCAGCAGGAGGAGGUGCUGUGGGGGGACAGGGAGAGGCGAGUCUGGAAGCAUCUCUGAAGAAACACUCUCCCGGCCUCUGCAUACGAUCUCCAAGCACAGGUUUGGUUUGUCAUAACUCCUGGUGAGUCUUUGUCCUCUGCCCACCCUCUGUAACCUCCCUUGAUCAUGUCUUUGCUUCUAUUAUGGAGAUGGGGUAUCACUAUUAGUUCAGGUAGGCCUUGAACUUAUGAUCUUCCUGCCUCAGGUUCCCGAGUACUGACUGGGCUGUCAGGUGUGCAUGCCCCUUUCUGGACCAACCAUGCUUAGCAAAGGCUGAGUUCCAGUAGUGGGAAGAGAGCUGUUUCCUUAGAAUGGAGUAAGGGAGAAAGAAAUCCUUGUUAUGCCACUUUAGAAAACAUGAAAAAUUUCAAAGCAGAAAAAAAUAAACCCUUAAAUAUAACACAACAUAUCUUCUACAGCCUGUCACAUGAACAAGCCCAUGUGGGAAAGGAUAUGGCAAGCUGUACGGAGCC
rnacentral:sRNA from 1 species